GUCUAUGGCCAUGCCACCCUGGAUGUGUCUGAUCUUGAAAGCUAAGCAGGGUUGGGCCUGGUUAGUACUUGGAUUGGAGAAGGUAUAGGUCUUGCCCUGGAGGACUUAGAGU
rnacentral:rRNA from 1 species